UGUAAAGAAAUGCAUCCUUGUGAGAAAAGGAUUUGACAAAGUAGAUUUUGCAGCAGAAAUUGGGAAUGUUCUGAUAAUUAGACAAGUGUCCCAGCCUCUCAAGUUUGCCGGUCAUCUCUGUGUUUAGCGCAGUUUCCUGGCCAUGCACUGCCAGGGGAGGGUGCUGCCCUCAGCCCCAGUGCCCGGCCUGUGCUCGCCCACCCUCAGGCCAGUCUGGGCUCCUCGCCACAGCUCAGCUGCCUCAGUGAAGGCAGGUGCAGGAGCUUCUACCAAUUUCUGCAGCAGUGCCUUAGGCUUUCACCAGGGCAAUCAGCUAAUUAUUCACUGACUAGAUUCAUUCCAGGGCUGUUUGGAGCACCCCAGUUUUAGCUGGGGGAGUACCUCCCCUUCCUCUGCUCCGGCAGCACUCUGUAGCCCAACAGAGGAACCUGGAGGCCCGUUUUGGUACGUUCCCAAAGACACAAAUGCCGAAAAACCCCCAUCCUUAUUCUGCCUUGGUUCAAAGCUAAUGUUUGUGCUAAUUGCUUUCACCCGACUAAGUUUAAAGUGUGUGAACACAGCAGGAGGGGAAGAGCCAUCUGGAGCAAGGACGCAGCAACACUCAAGCCUGAGCAUCUCUAACACCAGUAACGAGGCAAACCCAGAAUAUGGGCUGGUUUUCAAGCCCCAGAGGAGGCUGCAGAGCUGGCUGCUUAAAAUAAACCAAAUCCCACAGCCCUUGGACUUACUCAUGAAACUCAUUUUCUGUGCAAGUUAUUGAGGAAACAAUCCAGGGAUUUCCUUACCUCUGCUUUACAGACCACAGCUUGGCUUCAGCCCAGCCUGCAACAUUCCUUCAGUGCAAACCAUUUGGGCCAGAAUCAUUCCUUUCAGAAGACGACUGGCUUUGCAGAGCACAGUGUCCAAAGAGCAGAGCGGGGCUUGUCGAGGUGAGGAUGAGGAGGGCUCAGCCCCUGCCCAGCUGUGUGGUUGAUGCUGCUGUGCAGUGCCCAGGUGAGAACUUGGGCUCUUUCCAAGCCCCACAUGAGGCUCAUGCUGUUGUUGCACUGAUGCUGGAGCAGGGCCAUCCCAAACCAUGGUGUGCCUGUCCCAACCACUCCCCUUCUUACCCACAAGAUGAGGACACUGGUGACGUUUCCAAACCUUAGCCAAGAAUUCUGGAAAGCUGAUCUGCUGAGUGAGACAGCCACAGGUGCUGGCAGCACCUGCAAGCAGGUAGAGGCUGGGCCAUGGCAGCUCUACCUUGCACACUGAGAUGGAGUGAAUUCAGAGCCCACCCUUGACUCUGGCCUCCAGGGCCAGGCUACACUCCAGCUGAGAUGCACCAGUUGUGAACUUGGGGUGUUAUGAGAAGAGAUAGGAGGGUAGAAUGAGGCAAAACACUGGAAAAUUCCUCUUGGUACUCCUAGGUAGAAAGACAGCACUGGCCUUUCCCCAGAGCAAACCUGUGGAGGCCUCAGGGGAAUCACCAGAGCUUCUCCAGGGAAAAUGAUCCAAAGAGAAAAAAACAGCAGAAUUGUGGGGACUGUGUGCACAGGAAAGAAGAAUUUUAACACACAGGUACUAUGCAAGCAGGGAUUUUCUAUGAAUGAACGUGAAGGAGGGUGGGAACUCCUGAGGUUAAAGGGAACUGUUCAGAAGCAGCACAAUCACUCCCCCUUAUCCCCACAUGAUGUAUAAAAUGAAACAGAAAUCUCAUAAAAGCAUGUGGUUUCCCAAUAUGCCCCAGGCAAAAUCUGGGACUAUGAACUUCAAAGGAAAAUCUGAGUUUUCUUGGCCUCAAGCAGGAGAACUACACCAAGCCCACUUCCCAGGGUGGCCUCAGUCUGGGGCCAUGGAGAGAACCCAAAGCCACGUUCUGCAGAUGGUCAUAAGUGUCUCUAUCAGCACCCACAACACGACAGACAGUCGGGAUGCAGGAGGCAUCCUGAUCUCCACCACUCCAGAGGGCGCUGUCAUAGGAAUGAACCAACACACAGACCUUCAAAGAGAAAAUUUUAUGGACGCUUUCAUACACAUACACAAAUAUUUUAAUAUAAUGGUAACUGAAAUGUUAUCCAUAUUCUUAGUACUGUCAUAAUUAACUAAAAAGAUAUUUUUUAAAAUUUUGUAAAAAUGACAUAUUUUACACAUCUUCUAUUUACAAUUGCAAUAUGCUUAAAUGUUAUAAAACAUCCACUCUGACCUUUAAAAUAUAUGUAUACUAGGACUUAGUAUUAGAUAUAUUAUAAUUUAUAGCAAACUUAGGGUUUGCUGCGUACCUAUCUGUUCAAUGGGAAUUUUGUAAUCAGCCUGGCUUAAUAAAGGCUGCUCAAAACCAAAAUUGACAGAAAAAAAAAAAAAAAA